rnacentral:tmRNA from 1 species
CAAACUUAAGCGGGCUCGCCGGCCGUGACCCUGUCUGUCGGGGCACGUACGGUCAAAACAUUGACAGACUAAACAUGUAGCUGCCGGUGUGUGGCGGAUUUACGGACGCGGGUUCGAUUCCCGCCGCCUCCACCA